GGAUCCAGGGCGUAGCUUGCUACAAACUGGUGAGAGUGGCGCACGGGUGCGUAACGCGUGAGCAACCUACCCAUAUCAGGGGGAUAGCCCGAAGAAAUUCGGAUUAACACCGCAUGACACAGCGAUCUGGCAUCAGAAUGCUGUUAAAUAUUUAUAGGAUAUGGAUGGGCUCGCGUGACAUUAGCUAGUUGGUAAGGUAACGGCUUACCAAGGCUACGAUGUCUAGGGGCUCUGAGAGGAGAAUCCCCCACACUGGUACUGAGACACGGACCAGACUCCUACGGGAGGCAGCAGUAAGGAAUAUUGGUCAAUGGAGGGAACUCUGAACCAGCCAUGCCGCGUGCAGGAAGACUGCCCUAUGGGUUGUAAACUGCUUUUGUACGGGAAUAAACACUGGUACGUGCACCAGCUUGAAUGUACCGUAAGAAUAAGGAUCGGCUAACUCCGUGCCAGCAGCCGCGGUAAUACGGAGGAUCCGAGCGUUAUCCGGAUUUAUUGGGUUUAAAGGGUGCGUAGGCGGCUUAUUAAGUCAGGGGUGAAAGACGGCAGCUCAACUGUCGCAGUGCCUUUGAUACUGAUGAGCUUGAAUGUGAUUGAAGAUGGCGGAAUGAGACAAGUAGCGGUGAAAUGCAUAGAUAUGUCUCAGAACCCCAAUUGCGAAGGCAGCUAUCUAAGUCAUGAUUGACGCUGAUGCACGAAAGCGUGGGGAUCGAACAGGAUUAGAUACCCUGGUAGUCACGCCCUAACGAUGAUACUCGAUGUAGCGAUAUACAGUAGCG
rnacentral:rRNA from 1 species